AUUUCGGCUGAAGAAGUGAAUGGUAGAUGGUUAAACGGUCCGGUGUUUAUACAGUUACCCGAGGAGCAAUGGCCGAUGGAAACUGGCGUACCAGAAAGAAAGGAAGUUAACAAAGAAAGGAGACAAGUCAAGAUCGUAUGUCCUGUCGCUGUCAGCAAGCCGUUAUUCGACUGCAAACGGUUCUCGAAGUGGAAACGAGUAAUAAGGAUCACGAGUUACAUCCAGAGAUUUAUCCAGAAUUGUCGAAUCAAGUGUGGUCGAAAUGAGAGAAAUCAACAACCAGAAGUUGGUCCAUUAACCAAUCAAGAAUUGGAAAACGCGGAGGAGUACUGGCUAAAACAGAUGCAGUCAAAUCUCUUAAAGAGAUUACCUAGAGGCGAUUUCAAGACCCUGUCUCCAUAUAAGGACGAUAGAAAUAUCCUCAGGGUAGGAGGUCGUGUGGAUCCAACCUUAGUUUCCUACGAUGAAAGACGUCCCGCACUUUUACCAUAUGAUCACUAUCUGUCCACCUUAAUAGUCCGUGAUGCUCACGAAACAAGUCAUUCUGGUGUCGCCACGACAGUCGCCAAAAUACGUAGAAUGUAUUGGGUCAUCAAAGCUCAUAGGAUUGCGAAAGUCGUCAAGCAACGGUGCACAACAUGUCGAAAGCUCGAAGCGAAAGUUGAAACCCAGCUCAUGGCUAUCCUGCCACCAUUUCGUUUGCAGCCGUGCACCCCACCGUUUCUCUACUCAACGAUGGAUUACUUUGGACCAAUCAACGUAAAAGUAGGCAGAAACAAAACAGUUAAACAUUAUGGUGUAGUAUUCACGUGCAUGAAUACCAGAGCCAUCCAUUGCGAGAUUGCAGUUGAUGCCAGCACGAUGGAGCUCUUGCAAGUCUUAAGAAGGUUCUUUUCAUUCCGUGGUUAUCCGAAAGUGCUCUUAUCUGACAACGGAACGCAGAUGGUAGGAGCAAACAACGAAUUGAAGUUAAUGAUCGAAGGAUGGAACAAAGAUCAAUUGGAAGAAUUUUGCGCAGCCAGAGGAAUGAAAUGGCAAUUCAUCACACCAUUGGCACCGCAUCAAAAUGGAUGCUCUGAGGCGAUGGUAAAAAGUGUGAAGCUAGCAAUGAAGAGAGCAAUCGGCGACGCCCUUUUAACACCAUUCGAGCUAUACACGUGCGUUUUGGAAGCUGCGAAUUUGGUUAACCAACGGCCGAUUGGAAGAGUACCAACAGAUCCGGAUGAUGGCGGAUACCUAUGUCCAAACGAUAUACUAUUGGGCAGAGCUACGAACGCUGUGCCUCAAGGUCCGUUCCGAGAAACACAAAAUCCUCGCCACCGAUUCGAGUUUUGUCAGAGAAUUAUUGAUGCUUUUUGGAAGAAGUGGUCAAGAGACGUCCUACCGCUAUUAACCCCACGAAGAAAAUGGAAUACGCAAAGUCGUAAUGUAACGGUGAACGAUUAUGUUAUAGUGUCCGAGCCAAACGCAGUAAGGGGAAAGUGGAACACCGGAAAGAUCGUGGAAGUCUAUCAGGGAGAGGACGGGUUGGUCAGGAAUGUGAAGGUGAAAACUGCUACGGGAACCUACAGCCGACCUAUCAACAAGAUAUGCGUAAUUUAUCCAGCAGAAGGCUACGAAGAGGAGUGAAUGGGAGUUCUCCCAUUGUCGGGGGGAGUGUUUCAUUGACGAUGAAAGGACUUCAUGUAAGACUAUUUUAAUGUUUUAGUUAGUCGGAGUUUACUCGGACCUUAGUCGGAAGGGUUCGUAGGAAAAAUGUGAUGAGCUUGUAGAAAUGUUUUGAACACGUUUUCGUAUGGUUUUAAGAAGUUUAUAAAGUUUUAAGUAAGGUUUAUUAUUGUUAAAUGUUAAGAUAAAAGGAAAAGGAUACUUGCUUAGGACAGAUGUAAGUAGAAAGCCUUAGUUAAUUCAUUUUUGUGAUUUAGUACUAAUUUAAUAUAUGUAAACAUACCGAUUUAAUUUCAUUAUUAUUUAGUUUCAGAUUGUUGUUAUUUGUGAAUAAAUCUUAAUACUGAAAUCCCAAGCGUGUAUUGUAUUAUUGGAUUAUUGUAUGUUAGCUCCAAGUUAUCGUCGGUCCAAUUGCGGUUGCAAGCUUAGUUAUUAACAUCAAACGCAGAAUUAGGUAAAUACACUAUAGAUAAACACUUAUCUUAAUAAAAUAAAGUAUCUAAAGGCACGCUGUAAACUACAAGUUUUGUGUCUGCUAUUAAAUUGUAUUGUGUCUGUAUUCCGCGCCUACGGCGUCAUAUAGUGGCUUAGAGAUCAUGUCUGCCACUGAAACGUUAGCAGAAUACGCCUUUUCGGGCCUUGCGACGCCAACUUGGCAAGGGGACAAACACAAUAGAGUAACGAGGGGCCCACUGGGACCUCGGGAAAGCAGUAUGUUUUGUGGACCCUCGAACAUCGACGGUCUCGGGUCCACAAAAGACACUGUUUCCCUCGGUCUCAGUAAAUAAUAAUCAGUGAUAAUCGUGUUUUCCUUAUGAAUUAUUAAUGAGUUUUUGAAGUACUAUUUAAAACACGAGUAUAGUGCUUUAUCAGUUAUAAGAAACGAAGCGACAGCCGAGUGUCUUAUAGUCUGGUAAAGCACGGACUGCUAGUAUUUUAAAUGGCUUAAAAACGAAUCUUCUGAGUUCAUUGGCGAAGUAAUUUUAAAAGUGAACCUAGAAAAUUAAAGCUAAAAUUUAUGUAAAUUAACAUCAUGCUUUUUUAUCACAUAUAAACCACCGAAACGAUAGUAAUUUCCUAUGUCUUUUCCUCAAUCAUGAAUUAUCUAUUUUAUUAAAUUAUAAAAUUUUAAACACAAAUAUAGAUCAAAAUCCAAAUUAUACCUUCAGAUACUGCUUAAUAUUAUCUUCUUUCACCAACUUGAUUAACUUUUCUUGUUCUUCAGUCUUCACUUUAUUUUCUUGCAGCCGACUUUGUUCAGUUCCAGAAUGACUCGUGUACCAGGAAAGGGUUGUUUUAUAUACACUCGGGAGGAUUUUUUAAAAGGUUAACAUUGAUAUGAUUGACAUUGACAUUGGUCGUUGGCAGUUCCUACAGCAUGUGAGACGCUAUCCUCUUCCGCAGAUAAACAAUGUAAAGUUUCUUCACAAAUACUAGAUAACGUGUGCGUGAUCAAAGGUUAUAGUCUGAUGUGGACAAUGUCACGUACAUGCACAGGUAUGCGGAUGGAAUUGAAAAAAUUACGUGGGCAAACAAAAAUUUGUCCGACAUUAAUGCCCCCACAAUAUCAUGGGUUCAGAGAUAGAUGAAUAGAAGGUGAAUAGAAGGAACGUAUCUUCUAUACCGACGCGUACAAAUACAAAGUCAAUCUUAAAAUGAUUAUAUUUUCAUAUAUUUACGAGUACUUCUGGGAUUUCUUUUAAGAUACAUCGAAAACUCCUUCUUUCUACUGCAUGCAAUUUGAAUUGAACGGAAAAUAAUUUCGAUCUGUCAUUCAGUUUCUCUGACUGAACAUCUAAACAUUAAUAUCAUGUCAAAAUAAAUUAUAUUGAGGCAAGCAGCCUAAAAAAUUUACCAUUUAUCAUUUAGCCUGCGCAUGUGCAGCUAAACACAAUGAAGAAAACCAUAAAAACGUUUCGUGUGACUGUGCUUAGCCCGCUCAUGCGCGGCAUUUUGUAGUUUAAAUGCAUAAAAUUUAUUCGAUAUCGUCGGUUCAGUUGGAGGUUCAUAUCUUUGGUUCGAUCAGUACAUGCUAUGUAGAAAUACCACCGUUCGAUUCAGUGAAACAAUUCCUAUCGAUCGUUUUAGUAAAAUGUCAACGUUAUAACGAUUUACGACCCUUAGAGGUCAAGCGAUACCAUAAUUCAUUAGAUUACACAAUUUUCCCGAACAAUGUAAACAGCGUAUUAACCAAGGCAUACCUUUCGCCGAACAUAAGUUCGGCUGCUUUCAACAUAUCUUUUUCGUAAUAGUCUUGUUCGAAUCACAAUCCAAGACACCAUUUACAGUGCAAUGUUCCGGGCUUGUAUCUACAGAUUUGCAUCUUUUAUUUCGGCAUUUCAGAAUACUAAAUUUUUAGCGAGACUUUCAACCGAAAAUACAAAUUAAAUUGUCGAAAAAAGGCAAUGUUUACAUCCUUAGCACUCAGUCGAUUCUAAAGGUCAAAUCAUCCCUGCAGCGUGGCCGAAAGGUAUGUCCAGCGGAAGGUAUGGCCAGUCUAUAUUAUUUUUCAAACAGUUAAGUAAUUUGAUAAUAUACAAUCUCGUUUGACUUUCAGAGGUCAUAAAUCGCUACAAUGUUGAUAAAGACUACAACUAUUGUAAGGAAUUGGUUGAUUAUUGUGUUCAUAGCAUGCACUGAACUCAAGAUAUGAACAUCCAAAGGUUGGCAGCUUCCAGCGUCCUACGAUGCUUGGGACUGAGCGAGAUAGAGUUUUAAAAUUUAUUUUAGCCGUUUACGGCGAAAUAGUAGAGUUAAUUUAAUAUUAUCUGGUUUGUUUUUAAAAAGGUUGCUGUAUUAUGGAUAGUUUAUACGGUAUCUGACUCCAUACAACAAAGAAUGAAGAAUACAAAUUUUAUGGUUCAAUGGUUGAAAAAUCAACCAAGAUGGCCUCGAUUGCAAACGAGC